rnacentral:rRNA from 1 species
AGUGAACGCUGGCGGUAGGCCUAACACAUGCAAGUCGAACGGCAGCACAGUAAGAUCUUGCUCUUACGGGUGGCGAGUGGCGGACGGGUGAGGAAUACAUCGGAAUCUACUUUUUCGUGGGGGAUAACGUAGGGAAACUUACGCUAAUACCGCAUACGACCUACGGGUGAAAGCAGAGGAUCUUCGGACCUUGCGCGAUUGAAUGAGCCGAUGUCGGAUUAGCUAGUUGGCGGGGUAAAGGCCCACCAAGGCGACGAUCCGUAGCUGGUCUGAGAGGAUGAUCAGCCACACUGGAACUGAGACACGGUCCAGACUCCUACGGGAGGCAGCAGUGGGGAAUAUUGGACAAUGGGCGCAAGCCUGAUCCAGCCAUACCGCGUGGGUGAAGAAGGCCUUCGGGUUGUAAAGCCCUUUUGUUGGGAAAGAAAAGCAGCAGGUUAAUACCCCGCUGUUCUGACGGUACCCAAAGAAUAAGCACCGGCUAACUUCGUG